rnacentral:rRNA from 1 species
GGGGUGCUCGAGUGGCGAACGGGUGAGUAACACGUGAGUAACCUGCCCUUGACUUUGGGAUAACUUCAGGAAACUGGGGCUAAUACCGGAUAGGAGCUCCUGCUGCAUGGUGGGGGUUGGAAAGUUUCGGCGGUUGGGGAUGGACUCGCGGCUUAUCAGCUUGUUGGUGGGGUAGUGGCUUACCAAGGCUUUGACGGGUAGCCGGCCUGAGAGGGUGACCGGCCACAUUGGGACUGGGAUACGGCCCAG